CUGAGUACUACACUCUCUACCCUUUGUGAACUAUUAUACCUGUUGCUUCGGCGGCGCCCGCGAGGGUGCCCGCCGGUCUCAUCAGAAUCUCUGUUUUCGAACCCGACGAUACUUCUGAGUGUUCUUAGCGAACUGUCAA
rnacentral:misc_RNA from 1 species